CGAGGGGCGGCGCGGGGCUCCUCUCGCGCCUCGGGCUCGCGGCUUUUGCCGCUUUCAGCAGAAAUCCGCCGCUCUUGAGCGGCUGCGGGGCGGGCGGCCGCCGCGCCACUCCCCGCCGCUGGGCGUGCGGCGUGAGGGGGAGGCCGGGGCGGCUGGGCAGGGAGAGGGCCGCUUUCGUGCGAGCGGUGAGGCUGUUCGUAAGGGGACGGAGCGUAACGCUCACCGAGCGAGGGAAGCGUGCUGCCGGGGGGGCGUCUUAGGCGGCGGUCGCUUUGCGCCUUCCCCGCUCCUCGUGACUGAGGUAUCUGCGCGCUGCCGGCUUCGAGCGCCCGCCGGGCGGCUGCGGGGCCUCAGCUGGCACAGACUGGUGCGGGGCCCUGACACACCUCGUCCUACGUGUCCGGCCCUGACUGAUGGGAGGACGCGAGGCGGCAAAACUCAUCAGUGUUAAUUAAUUCCUGGUAUGUUGUCUUUCUUGGUGAUGAAGACAAAUUGCCUUUUCCAAGACUGAGUCCGUCCGUGUUAACAAUUACAGAAGCCCCGCUUGAAGAACGCUGCUGAGAAUAAAGCUGUUAUCCCAGCCCGGGGCUGCGCUGAGGCCCGUGUUUUCCGAGCUGCUGAUGGGCGGCACUGCCGGUGUUUUAAAAAACAGUAAGCACUGCACCCUCAUUCCCAGCCAAAACGGGGAGGAAAAGUGGGAAGUGAAGCUGCUCCACAGCAACAGGGACAGACUGGGCAGAGGGCGUUUCUUCAAGUAAAGGGUCUUCCCUAUCCGUAAACACGUGUGUGGGUGCGGGCUUUGACCCCCGGCUUCAUGCUCCUUCCCACCAAAGAGCUCAGCACGGGCUGGGGCCGGCUCAGAAGGAUGCCCGUUUCUCACACUGCACCUCGGGAGCUGUUGGUUGUCUCGAGCGGGGCUAUCUCCAGCGCUUCCAUCCUCGCAGAAGAGCUGGAUGUGAAUAAUAAAUUGCUCUUUCUCAUAAAUACACCCACAAAGGUGGCAAUGCGCAUGUUGGCAGGGAGAGGAGAGGGAAGGUUAGCGCAGUGAGUGCUGCUGAAGGUCCUCCGGGCAGUCGUUACCGAUUCCAGGCAUGCCUCAAGCUGGCACAGCGAUGCCUUUCUGGGACACCUUGAAGAACAGAGGACUCAUCUAAGGUGGUCAUAUCUGGAUGCACUGACCUUACUCCUGGCAGAUAGCCACUCUCCUUACUCUGGCUCAACCAUGCUGCCCAUCAGAGAGCAAUGCAAUCUCACGUGGAGGAGAAGCACUACCAUCACACAGCUGGGCUUAAGGGCACUGAGGUCUGCACAUAGAGGUAAAGGGUGCAGGUUUGGACCUGCAGAAAGUGCAAGGGAGAACAUUUCAGCCCUAGCACAGAUUUGUCCUGAAAUAGGUAAAGACAAUAGCCUGGCUGGUGGAAGGAUUUUUUAGGCCAGCCCCAAACUUAUCAUUGCUGCACUUGCUGAAAUGUUGGGAAGAUGCAGGGGGUGGUAUGCCUGACCAUAUCAUAGCAGUUAUGGGUCUUGGCAUCUGGGAAGAGGGAAAGGCUUCUAUUUUUGGCAUUACAGGGCCGUGGGAGUGGUUAGUCCUUAUGAAAGGAAAGAAAACGUUUCCUUGUUCCUUCUGCUCCUUUGAAGAAAGAGUAGAGGUGAUUUCGCUGUUUUCUGGAAAGAGUUUGAAUUUCUCAUUGCCUGCCACAGGAUCCUUGGCAACAAUCUUUUCUGCCCUCUCUGAGCUGGGAGUGUAGAAUUGCCCCCUGCACUUAGCUGGGUUUCUGCAAUACUCCAGUGUACACAGAUUCACAAUUUUGGUUGGUCUGAUUGAUUUCCCUCGUCGUAUUUCCAGCCCUGCUGACCCCAGGAGUGAUAGUGAGCGUGUGCAUAAUGGGUACCCAGCAGGGAAGGCUGAGUUGCUGGGAACUCUGUGGUGUUGUUUGCUUCAUUGCUUUAAACUGGACAGUGACAAAGUGCCAUAAAGCCAUAGGGUUGUAUAUCAAUGUAUGGUUUAAACAUUUCACUGAAUUUAUUCCCUUUGGUACCAAUGAAACAGUUACACUUAGAUCCCCUGUAUGCAGCUCAGGAUACAGUUUUAAACCCCAUGGUCUUCAUAGGUGGCAAAAGUACUGAAGCUCUUUCUCCAGCAGGGGCAAGUCGUUCUAGGUGUGUAAGCUAUGAGUUGUUUCUGCUGUCACAUCUGUGUAUUGUCCUGUCAUCUGUGUUUCUUCCUUUCCCCCAUUGGAGUUUUAGGGUUAACGCAGCUUUCCUGCACUUACAGCUUGCAACAAGGCUGUUAAAAAGCAUUGGUCCUUCAGCCAAUGUCCAUCCUGAGGAGGAAGAGGCUGGGCCCGUACGCAGGUAGUACUGAGGCUGUUAGUGGUUGUGAAGCCACUUGUGUAAAGUGAAGAGGAGGACUGGCACUGAGAAGCCUGCUGAGUUUGCAGCUGUAGCCUCUCCAGGAGUGGGUGCAGAAAGCUAUUGCCAAGCAAGCAGG
rnacentral:lncRNA from 1 species